UCCGUAGGUGAACCUGCGGAAGGAUCAUUACCGAGUUGAUUCGAGCUCCGGCUCGACUCUCCCACCCAAUGUGUACCUACCUCUGUUGCUUUGGCGGGCCGCGGUCCUCCGCACCGGCGCCCUUCGGGGGGCUGGCCAGCGCCCGCCAGAGGACCAUAAAACUCCAGUCAGUGAACUUCGCAGUCUGAAAAACAAGUUAAUAAACUAAAACUUUCAACAACGGAUCUCUUGGUUCUGGCAUCGAUGAAGAACGCAGCGAAAUGCGAUAAGUAAUGUGAAUUGCAGAAUUCAGUGAAUCAUCGAAUCUUUGAACGCACAUUGCGCCCCUUGGUAUUCCGAGGGGCAUGCCUGUUCGAGCGUCAUUUCAACCCUCAAGCUCUGCUUGGUAUUGGGCCUCGUCCUCCACGGACGCGCCUUAAAGACCUCGGCGGUGGCGUCUUGCCUCAAGCGUAGUAGAAAACACCUCGCUUUGGAGCGCACGGCGUCGCCCGCCGGACGAACCUUUGAAUUAUUUCUCAAGGUUGACCUCGGAUCAGGUAGGGAUACCCGCUGAACUUAAGCAUAUCAAUAAGCGGAGGA
rnacentral:rRNA from 1 species